rnacentral:lncRNA from 1 species
GGUCGCCAGUGACUUCGUCGGUUUCUAGGUAAAACUUUAAAUCACUUAUUCUCUUUCGUUUCUUCACCAUUUUCCACAAAAUUGGUACCAAAAUGAAGCUAAUAACAUGUAGAAUCACGUUAUAUAAGUUUCAAGGCUUAAAAUCUACUAGGUUUUCCCCGAGAAAGCUCGAUAGUUCGGCUUACCUAGAUAUACGUCGAUCUCAGCCCUCCGACGUCCAAUUCCUUCCAACAAAGUGUUGGAAAUGUGCCCUAAAACCAAUCAUAUGAUGAUACUUUACGGACAUUUCACAUGUUAAACUAAUCUAG